rnacentral:tRNA from 1 species
GUGGCUAUAGCUCAGUUGGUAGAGCCACAGUUGUGAUUUGAUUGUCGUGGGUUCGAAUCCCAUUAGCCACCCCA